CAGCAGCCGCGGUAAUACAGAGGGUGCGAGCGUUAAUCGGAAUUACUGGGCGUAAAGCGCACGUAGUCGGCUUGUCAAGUCGGGUGUGAAAUCCCCGGGCUCAACCUGGGAACUGCAUCCGAAACUGACUUGCUAGAGUAUGGGAGAGGGAGGCGGAAUUUCUGGUGUAGCAGUGAAAUGCGUAGAUAUCAGAAGGAACAUCAGUGGCGAAGGCGGCCUCCUGGACCAAUACUGACGAUCAGGUGCGAAAGCGUGGGGAGCAAACAGGAUUAGAUACCCUGGUAGUCCACGCCCUAAACGAUGACAACUGGAUGUCGGGAGGGUUUGCCUUCCGGUGUCGUAGCUAACGCGUUAAGUUGUCCGCCUGGGAAGUACGGCCGCAAGGUUGAAACUUAAAGGAAUUGACGG
rnacentral:rRNA from 1 species